UGUCAUUUGCUAAUACUCUUUCUAGGACUGGCAGAAGCGCCGAGGCUUGGCUUCGGAAGGGCUUCUACCGGUCUACAGAACAUGCCGUCGUCCUCAUGUCCCUUCAUCACUGGAGAUUGCCGCGAGGCCCUUGUGGGUCUUGCUGGCAUCAGCCUGAGCUGGCUCACGCCGCCCGCGGCCUCAUGGCCUGCUUUGGGUUUGCGGUGGGGGCCGGUAGCUCAGGUGGUUAGAGCGCACGCCUGAUAAGCGUGAGGUCGCAAGUUCAACUCUUGCUCGGCCCACCAAACCGCUUCGCGGUUUGGAGUCUUUGUUUGGUGCUCAAGCGCCGCCGAACGCGUCCGCGUUCUUGGCUACUCGCCGCAUAAGCGGCGCCAAGGAUUGUGGGGCACGGUCGGCCUUGCGAAGGCUUUGCCUUCGUUGGCACUUUACAUAGAGUCUGCUUUUAGAUCGAGUUCCCUUAAUGAGGGGCCUUAGCUCAGCUGGGAGAGCACCUGCUUUGCAAGCAGGGGGUCAUCGGUUCGAUCCCGAUAGGCUCCACCAUUCUCGCCGCUUCGCGGCAUG
rnacentral:tRNA from 1 species